rnacentral:rRNA from 1 species
GAUAAACGCUGGCGGCGUGCAUGAGACAUGCAAGUCGAACGGGUGACUCAGGGCUUGCUCUGAGUCGCUAGUGGCGGACGGCUGAGUAACGCGUAGGUGACCUACCCCGAAGUGGGGAAUAACUGCCCGAAAGGGUGGCUAAUACCGCAUGUGACCGGUCAUUCAAUUGAUCGAUCAAAGCAGCAAUGCGCUUUGGGAGGGGCCUGCGUCCGAUUAGCUCGUUGGUGGGGUAAUGGCUCACCAAGGCGACGAUCGGUAGGUGGUCUGAGAGGACGAUCACCCAGACUGGGACUGAGACACGGCCCAGACUCCUACGGGAGGCAGCAGUCGGGAAUUUUGCUCAAUGGGCGAAAGCCUGAAGCAGCAACGCCGCGUGAGGGAUGAAGGCCUUCGGGUUGUAAAGCACUUUCAGUAGGGAGGAAGGGUGUUGUGUUAAUAGCACAGCAUUUUGACGUUACCUACAGAAGAAGCACCGGCUAAC